GUGGAGGUGACUGCAGAAUCAGUGGU
rnacentral:piRNA from 1 species